GUAGGGAAUCUUCCGCAAUGGACGAAAGUCUGACGGAGCAACGCCGCGUGAGUGAGGAAGGCCUUCGGGUCGUAAAGCUCUGUUGUGAGGGAAGAAGCGGUACCGUUCGAAUAGGGCGGUACCUUGACGGUACCUCACCAGAAAGCCACGGCUAACUACGUGCCAGCAGCCGCGGUAAUACGUAGGUGGCAAGCGUUGUCCGGAAUUAUUGGGCGUAAAGCGCGCGCAGGCGGCUUCUUAAGUCUGAUGUGAAAUCUCGGGGCUCAACCCCGAGCGGCCAUUGGAAACUGGGGAGCUUGAGUGCAGAAGAGGAGAGUGGAAUUCCACGUGUAGCGGUGAAAUGCGUAGAGAUGUGGAGGAACACCAGUGGCGAAGGCGACUCUCUGGUCUGUAACUGACGCUGAGGCGCGAAAGCGUGGGGAGCAAACAGGAUUAGAUACCCUAGUAGUCC
rnacentral:rRNA from 1 species